rnacentral:misc_RNA from 1 species
GGUAAGUAAUCUAUAAAAAAGGAUACAACAUGAAGCACAAAGAUGGAAAACCAUAUCCACCAAAUAAAAAUUCAAAGAAAAUUCAAGUGACACUAAUAGUUGUGGUGCUCUGUGGGUUUUCCUUCUAUCUUGGAGGAAUUUUUUGUUCUGAAAAGGAUACAUAUGCAACUAAGGAGGUUAACAGGGAGGAUGAAACUUCCAUAGGGAAUUCUGCUGGCUCUCUACAAACUAGAGGCAAUUCCUUUACUGAAUGCAGUGCUGACUAUCAGGACUAUACCCCAUGCACAGAUCCGAGGAGAUGGAAGAAGUACGGUCUUCAUCGCCUUACUUUCAUGGAACGACAUUGCCCUCCUAAUUUUGAAAGGAAGGAAUGCUUGGUUCCCCCACCAGAUGGCUACAAGGUGCCAAUAAGAUGGCCAAAGAGCAAAAAUGAAUGUUGGUACAGAAAUGUUCCAUAUGAUUGGAUUAACAAACAGAAAUCCAAUCAGCAUUGGCUCGUAAAAGAAGGGGAGAAGUUUAUCUUUCCUGGUGGAGGUACUAUGUUUCCUAGAGGAGUCAGUGCCUAUGUUGAUCUGAUGGAAGAUCUCAUCCCAGAAAUGAAAGAUGGAACCAUUCGCACUGCUAUUGAUACUGGAUGUGGGGUUGCAAGCUGGGGUGGCGAUCUAUUGGAUAGAGGGAUCCUAACUCUUUCUCUUGCCCCAAGAGACAAUCAUGAGGCUCAAGUCCAGUUUGCACUGGAGCGUGGAAUUCCUGCAAUCCUAGGAAUCAUUGCCACACAACGACUCCCAUUCCCUUCAAGCUCAUUUGAUAUGGCUCAUUGCUCAAGAUGCCUUAUUCCGUGGACUGAAUAUGGUAAUUGAUUAAUUAUUUCUGACUGCAUGAUCAACAUCUUACUACAUACAGGAUUUUUGCAGUAUGCUUGAAUGUGAAUGUAGAAAAUACGAUGCAGUCAGGCAGUCCGGAUUGUGGCUACUGCUAAACUUGCUGGUUUUAAACGCUUAUUUUUGAGUGGUAACUUGUAGAUAUAUUCUGAUUCUCUGAAAUUUUCCACUUGGAAAAUGGUGCCUGUGUUUCUCUCAGAAGUUUCUUCAUUCCUUGGAAUUGGGAAAUGCUUUUGAAAAUUUCAAAUACCACCAACUUAAUUGAUUUUGCUUUUGUUUUUUUGUCAUAAUUGUCUUGAAGGAUUGUUGAGAUCUAUUUUCCUCACUGCCUUUGAGAUAUUAUUGCUGCAUUUUGUAUUUCAAUUUACAGGUUAUGUACUAAUCCUUAGGAAGUCAGAUUGUAUUUCCUUACAUUUGUUCUUCAUUUUUCACCCCCAACAUACAACACUACCCUCUUCUCCUUCUAUUUAGCAUUGAAUUAUUGAUACCCUAUCAGCACUUGCCGUUCUAAAAUGAUGGAUACUUUUUGUUCAGGUGGUAUUUAUCUCCUAGAAAUUCACCGUAUACUCCGUCCUGGUGGCUUUUGGGUCUUGUCUGGUCCUCCAGUUAACUAUGAAAAUCGUUGGCGAGGGUGGAACACUACAAUAGAAGAGCAGAAAUCAGAUUAUGAGAAGUUGCAAGAACUUCUAACUUCAAUGUGCUUCAAACUGUACAACAAGAAGGAUGACAUUGCUGUGUGGCGGAAAGCUUCAGAUAAUAGUUGCUAUAGCAAGCUUGCUAAACCUGAAGCCUACCCACCAAAAUGUGAUGACAGUCUUGAACCAGAUUCUGCAUGGUACACUCCACUUCGUACUUGUGUUCUUGUUCCCAGCCCAAAACUUAAGACAUCAGUUCUGGAAUCCAUCCCAAAAUGGCCGGAGCGGUUGCAUGUUGUUCCUGAACGUAUUUCAGAUGUUCCUGGUGGUAGUGCUAGCACUUUCAAACAUGAUGACAGCAAGUGGAAGGUGCGAGCAAAACACUACAAAAAGUUACUGUCAGCAAUUGGGACUGAUAAAAUAAGAAAUGUAAUGGACAUGAAUACAGUUUAUGGAGGUUUUGCUGCAUCUGUGAUUGAUGAUCCCUUGUGGGUCAUGAAUGUGGUCUCUUCUUAUGCUGUCAAUACACUUCCCGUGGUCUACGACCGAGGCCUUAUUGGAACUUACCAUGACUGGUAAUCCUGCUAAUGUGAAUUUGAAGUUUCUGUUUCUGCAUGAACAGCAUAAUUGUCCUGAACUUUCAAUGUUGCAUAUCAUUUAAAUCGGACCUGCAUGAAUAUGGUGUUGGAUUUAUCUCUUUCCUGUUUGGUAGGUGUGAAGCUUUCUCAACAUACCCUCGAACAUAUGACUUCCUUCACCUUGAUGGCCUUUUUACUGCUGAGAGCCACCGGUAAGACAUGGUCCUUAGUUUCAAGUUGCUGUUUUGUGCAAUUGCUUGCUAUUUUCUUUGGAAUUGUCAUUUGGAAUUUGGCCUAAGUUGAUCUCUUAAGUUUUAAUGCCUUGUCUUUUUGGGUCUGGUAUGGACCUCCUGAGUUAUAUUGCCUUGACUUUUUAUGUCUGGCGUGGACCAUUAUGUGAUAAAGGUCUAAAAUGCAUGAAUGAAGAUGAUAUAUUUUUCUUCUGCAUAGAAAAUUAAGAAUAGUGACAAAGUAGAAGCAGGUUAUCUGCUCAAGUAUUGAACUGUGAAUUGGGAAAAAUGGUUCAGGAUGUUUACAUUUUACUAUACCCUAGUCAGGCUUGGCCUAAUUGGAUCAGCCAUUAUUAGGUUGGUCAAGCAGAUAUUUGCUAAUAUAUUUUGGAAUGCUUGGAAAGUUAAUGGUAUUCUGCAGAGUUGGCCAGGCCGGGCCAGACUAGCACAAUAUAAUCUGUCUGCUGUAGUCCAUAGAUGAAAAUUGCCAAAAAUACCUAGUUACUGCACUUUUUUUGUUUCUCCAUUUUUGCUUGAUGCUAUUCCUUGAAUUGGUCACUAUGGGACUCUGGAGUUGAACACCCCCACCUUUUUAUUUUCAAUUUAUUAGAUGAUCUUGAAUUUGUAAUUCACCAGCAAAGAAACAGAGCUGCUGUAAUUGUUGAUUCUUAUCAAUCUUAUCUUAUGAAAUGCUAAGAUGGAGAAUAUGCAAAUAUAAGUUGUGUUUCUGAUAAUUUUGAGUAAUUGGGCAGAUGUGAUAUGAAGUAUGUGCUCUUAGAGAUGGAUCGGAUCCUGCGUCCCAGUGGGUAUGCAAUUAUACGGGAAUCUAGCUAUUUUGUUGAUGCUAUUGCCACCAUUGCCAAGGGGAUGAGGUGGGGCUGCCGUAAAGAAGACACUGAAUAUGGUGUUGAGAAGGAGAAGAUAUUGAUUUGCCAGAAAAAGCUCUGGUACUCCUCUAAUCAGAGUUCAAGAAGAUAAAAAUAGAAAUCCUAGUUGUGGUGAUGAUCUCCUGACAAGGAUUCCAGGGGAUAGACACCAUAUAUCAGUAAAGUUCAAUACUUGACCUGCAAAUUUAUUAAAAUCCACAGGAGCCGAGGUCUACAAAUUCAAAUUUGUCAAUUGGAUUAUUAGCUACACAAUAACCUAGUUUUGUUAAUUUAUAGUGCCCAUAAAAGAUAUGUAUUCUUUGCAAGGCAUCCAUAUAUUCUUGGCAAUUUUUUUUUGAGUUCUCUUGUUUUUGCUUUUAUUUAUUUAUUUUUUGUGCUUUUACCUUUUAUAUGUCAGAGACUUUAUAUGAUAAGUGCCUGUAACAAUUUGUGAGGAUUCAAGAAGACUUACAAUCACACAUUGUGAUUUCUGUGUAAUGAAAAUUAUGAAAUUGCUGUUUCUUAUUGAAAUUUG